CAGCCGCCGCGGUAAUACGUAGGUGGCAAGCGUUGUCCGGAAUUAUUGGGCGUAAAGGGCUCGCAGGCGGUUUCUUAAGUCUGAUGUGAAAGCCCCCGGCUCAACCGGAGAGGGUCAUUGGAAACUGGGAAACUUGAGUGCAGAAGAGGAGAGUGGAAUUCCACGUGUAGCGGUGAAAUGCGUAGAGAUGUGGAGGAACACCAGUGGCGAAGGCGACUCUCUGGUCUGUAACUGACGCUGAGGAGCGAAAGCGUGGGGAGCGAACAGGAUUAGAUACCCCGGUAGUCCCUGUCUCUUAUAC
rnacentral:rRNA from 1 species